GCUAAGAAAACUUACUGGCUAGCAUUGAAAACUGGAAAUAUCCAAAAUGCAUUGUGGCAAGACAACAAUAGAUACAAAGAUGCCUCCCAUGUUGGUGAAAGGAGUCUUGCUGAGCUCAACUAUCCGUGUAAAGAGGAGGGUUGGACUGUCUCAGUGGGAGACAAGUAAAGAAUGAAGUCAGUCCUCUGUCUGUUUGUCCAAAAUGGAUUGAUUGAUUUGAUUGAUUGAUUAAACUUUAUAUACAUUUAA